UACGUAGGGUGCGAGCGUUGUCCGGAAUUAUUGGGCGUAAAGGGCUCGUAGGCGGUCUGUCACGUCGGGAGUGAAAACUCGGGGCUUAACCCCGAGCCUGCUUCCGAUACGGGCAGACUAGAGGUAUGCAGGGGAGAACGGAAUUCCUGGUGUAGCGGUGAAAUGCGCAGAUAUCAGGAGGAACACCGGUGGCGAAGGCGGGUCUCUGGGCCGUAACUGACGCUGAGGAGCGAAAGCGUGGGGAGCGAACAGG
rnacentral:rRNA from 1 species